AUUGAACGCUGGCGGCAGGCCUAACACAUGCAAGUCGAGCGGAUGAAGGGAGCUUGCUCCUGGAUUCAGCGGCGGACGGGUGAGUAAUGCCUAGGAAUCUGCCUGGUAGUGGGGGAUAACGUCCGGAAACGGGCGCUAAUACCGCAUACGUCCUGAGGGAGAAAGUGGGGGAUCUUCGGACCUCACGCUAUCAGAUGAGCCUAGGUCGGAUUAGCUAGUUGGUGGGGUAAAGGCCUACCAAGGCGACGAUCCGUAACUGGUCUGAGAGGAUGAUCCGUCACACUGGAACUGAGACGCGGUCCCGACUCCGACGGGAGGCAGCAGUGGGGAAUAUUGGACAAUGGGCGAAAGCCUGUUCCAGCCAUGCCGCGUGUGUGAAGAAGGUCUUCGGAUUGUAAAGCACUUUAAGUUGGGAGGAAGGGCAGUAAGUUAAUACCUUGCUGUUUUGACGUUACCAACAGAAUAAGCACCGGCAAACUUCGU
rnacentral:rRNA from 1 species